GUGACCGUGGCGGUGGAGGAGGGUGAGGUAGCCAAAUCUGUUUUAUAUAUAUAUAUAUAUUUAUUUUUUUUUAAUUAGGGUAGCCCACAAAAUAUUGGGACAUAUAAAAAAAAAAGACAACUUUGUUCCGCCGAGUAGCUGUUGACAUUAUAGUUGCGCAGGCACUUUGUUAACUCUAGAGAACCUCGGGCCAAUCGCACAUCCCCGUGGCAACGACUUUGCAUGCGGAUGUCACCCAUAUAAACUUUCGAUGCCAGUUUCUGCGCCUACCAUGAUGACCACGGGUAACGGGGAAUCAGGGUUCCAUUCCGUACAGGGACCCUGAGAAACAGCUACCACAUGCAAGGAAGGCA